GAGUUUGAUUAUGGCUCAGGAUGAACGCUAGCGGGAGGCCUAACACAUGCAAGCCGAGCGGGAUUUGUUGGUUAGCUUGCUAACUAAUAAUGAGAGCGGCGUACGGGUGCGUAACACGUGUGCAACCUGCCUUUAUCUGGGGGAUAGCCUUUCGAAAGGAAGAUUAAUACCCCAUAAUAUAUUAAUUGGCAUCAAUUGAUAUUGAAAGCUCCGGCGGAUAGAGAUGGGCACGCGUAAGAUUAGCUAGUUGGUGAGGUAACGGCUCACCAAGGCUGCGAUCUUUAGGGGGCCUGAGAGGGUGAUCCCCCACACUGGUACUGAGACACGGACCAGACUCCUACGGGAGGCAGCAGUGAGGAAUAUUGGACAAUGGGUGAGAGCCUGAUCCAGCCAUCCCGCGUGAAGGACUAAGGACCUAUGGUUUGUAAACUUCUUUUAUACAGGGAUAAACCUACUCUCGUGAGGGUAGGUGAAGGUACUGUAUGAAUAAG
rnacentral:rRNA from 1 species